rnacentral:rRNA from 1 species
CAGCAGCCGCGGUAAUACGUAGGGUGCAAGCGUUAAUCGGAAUUACUGGGCGUAAAGCGUGCGCAGGCGGUUAUAUAAGUCAGAUGUGAAAUCCCCGGGCUCAACCUGGGAACUGCAUUUGAGACUGUAUGGCUAGAGUGUGUCAGAGGGGGGUAGAAUUCCACGUGUAGCAGUGAAAUGCGUAGAUAUGUGGAGGAAUACCGAUGGCGAAGGCAGCCCCCUGGGAUAACACUGACGCUCAUGCACGAAAGCGUGGGGAGCAAACAGGAUUAGAUACCCCUGUAGUCCCUGUCUCUUAUAC